CUAAUUCUCUCCUUCCUCUCCCCCUCGGCCGCGUUCUCUCUCUCCCCGAUCUCUCUCUUUAUCUUCUUCUUCCCUCUGCUACCACCAGAGACUCCAUCUCCGGCCACCGCCUCACAUCACCGCUACCACCAAUUGAUGCAUCACCUAAAUCCGACCCAAACCCAAGAGAGAUCGAAGCCAUGCAUCAACCCUGACCUCUUGCUCCCUCUCUCUUCUUCUUCCUUCUGCAACCACCGGAGAACACCCUCUCCGGCCACCAUCUCACCACACCGCGUCCACCAGUAGAGGCAGCACCCAAACCCGACCAUAACCCGAGUUUACCUUAGAUAUUCACCUCCUCCAGCCACUACAUGCGACCACCUAGCCGAAAAGGCUACUUCUGAUCACUUUUUACACUCACCGCCAUCACCAAUAGAUCGGGACCAGGCCACUCACCCAAAGCCCGAAGCCUUUGCACCGUCUGAUGCCAGAAUACUACCGAUGUCGAAGUACAGCCACUGCCUUUCCCUAAUCUCCAACCUCCGGCCAAAAUCGAGCUUCAACACCUCUAUAAACAAAGUCAGAGCUGCACUAUCUUUCGAAACCCCAAAACUCUGACCUCCGAUUCCGACCCAAUCCGCCAUACGCGAUGCACGCGCCGCCGCUGGCGCGUGGAUCACCGUAGCUCCUCCGCUCACAGUCACUGAGCCUUCAGAUCGUCUCUGUUAGGUAAUUUACGUCAUCCUAGACUGGGUUGAAGCCUCUAUUCCGAUUUAGACUAAAAACCCUAAUUUCUAUUGUUUAAAUUGGAUUGUGUGAGCUUUGGAGAAUCUGCAUUUGGGUUUAAAGAGGAGAGCCCCAAGGUGAGGCUUUGAUUGAAUCACCGUUGAAGGAGAAGCGGCUCUAAAGAAAUCGAGUUUCGUGUCGAAGGCUAUCGUAGCAGAGGAGUUAAUUUUGGAGAAGAAGAAUGGACUGGAGCGUGUGCACAUGGAAUUGGAUGAAGUAUCCAAUGUCAGAGACAAAACUAAGUUUGGGCGAGCACUCCAUAUCCAGUGUGCAGGUUUCGAGUAUGUGGUCGGGGAGCGUACAGAGGAGGGAGGCAUAUGGCCCGACUUGGCACAUUCUUCUUUAGUUUUAUUAGACGAGAGUUUUGGUCUCUUAUCGGAUUUUGAAGUAACCUAUUUAUUUACUUUCUAUUUAAUUAUUUGUUUUCUACUCCCUUAUUUACAAAUUUCGAGAGACCCAUAACCCUGGAGCGCGUCUCUCAUACUUGUUUUUACUUA